rnacentral:lncRNA from 1 species
CCUUCCCGAGCCCGGAUGCUCGGCCCGCUUUGAGGAAAGUCGAUUCUCGCGUCGUCCUCGUCAUUUUGGUUCGCUCGGCUCGCUAAUCCGGUGAGUUUAACUCACUAAACCUCGCUUAGAGGGUUAAUUAUGCUUUAGGUGUGCUUAGUUUAUGUUAAGUGUGAUUAGGUGGUUAGUUUGAUUUAUUUAAGUGUGGAUUAUAUUAAUGUGUUUAAUUAGCUUAAUUUGUGUUUAAUUUAAAGUUAAGAGGGUGUUUAUAUUAAUAUAAACCUUGAUGUGACAAAAAGGAAUUUACUUUUGAUUUAUUUAAAUAUAUCGAAAUUAUUGAAUAAUUAAAUAAUAUUUUAAUAUUCGAAAUUAUUAAAAUAUUAUUAUUUAAUUAUUUUCGGAAUAAAUUUAAUUAUUUAUUAAAUUCCGAAAAUUUUGGUCGGGACCCUAAAUUCUCAGAAUUUCGUGCCGGUCGCUACGGUACAUUCGGAUUUUUGAAAUUGAUGAUUGGAUAUUUUAAAUUGAGUAUGGAUCGUGAAAAGUAUGGAUAUUAUUAUUAUAUUAAUUUUCGGAAUAAAUUUAAUUAUUUAAUAAAUUCUAAAAAUUAUUUGGGAACCUUAUUCUCUCAGAAUUUUGUGCCGAUCGCUACUGUGCAUUUAGAAUUUGAUAUCGAUGAUUGGUUGUGGCGAAUUGAGUGUUGAUUGUGAUUAAUAUGGAUUCUUUAUAAAUUUCUAAGUGUGGAAAUUGAUGGGCGAUUGGCCGUGAUAUGCCACCUAUUAGAGGUCGCGCCCAGUGGGGCUGUGAUAUGCCACCUAUUAGAGGUCGCGCCCAGUGGGGCCGUGAUAUGCCACCUAUUAAAGGUCGCGCCCGAUGGGGCCGUGAUAUGCCACCUGAUAAAGGUCGCGCCCAGUGGGGCCGUUAUAUGCCACCUAUUAAAGGUCGCGCCCGAUGGGGCCGUGAUAUGCCACCUGAUAAAGGUCGCGCCCAGUGGGGCCGUUAUAUGCCACCUAUUAAAGGUCGCGCCCGAUGGGGCUGUGAUAUGCCACCUGAUAAAGGUCGCGCCCAGUGGGGCCGUUAUAUGCCACCUAUUAGAGGUCGCGCUCGAUGGGGCCGUGAUAUGCCACCUGGUAAAGGUCGCGCCCAGUGGGGCCGUUAUAUGCCACCUAUUAGAGGUCGCGCCCGAUGGGGCCGUGAAUUGCCACCUAUUAAAGGUCGCGCCGAGUAGGGCCGUAGUUGAGAGCAAUGAUUGAUUUGCUAGAAUGACAUGUAAUCGGCCGAGUCGAUUGAUCGCUGAGACGAUCCAAGUGGUUGAAUUGUUUUGAUAAUGUGAUUGAGCCAUGGUUGUUUGGUUAUCAUAAUUGCACGUGGUUGGGUUAUAUAAAUUGUGCUAACCUGCAGAUGAAGGCUGAGGCGAGGUAAGUCUUCUGUGUGAUGUGGCUAGGCCACCCGGGGCGUAUUUUCUUUCUAAUAGGGGUUUAGGGGGUUGAACUUGCUGAGACGUGGUCUCAGUGGUUAUUGAAUAACCAUUUCAGGUCCCUGAUGGACGGAGCGGCCAGAUAGCUUUGGUUGGCCUUGAAGAGUUGGAGAAGUGAAGUCAUAAGGAUUGGAGAUCGUGUACGUCUUGUAGGUCGUAGGAUAAUCUCUUUUUAAGAGCCAGUCUUUUGUAGACUUUUGGCCGUAGACCUCUGUUUGUAAUUUCGUUGAUUUACG